GGAACGAAGCCCGGAGAGACAGAUUCCUUUGUACCGCCACCGAGUUAGGGUGUGACUACUCAAGGAAAGAUCGGAGUUCUGCAAUACAGACGCAGGUGUUGCUUGGUGACAGGCCUCCUUAAGACCCCAAACACGUUUGACCGAAUGCAAUAAACGAUUCGCGUCACCGUGUGGGUCUAAAAUCCUUUAGCUGCCUCCGGGGAGCUACUGAUGGAAUUAAAGAAAAGCACUGACUUAGCGCUGGCUGAAGAACAGGAAAAGAAAUCAUGUAAUGUAUCGGGCUUGGUGAAAAAGCGUGAACACUAGAGAAUUGUUAAUCGAAUGAAAGAACUUGAAAAAUCUGAAGUGAAGAAUAAAAAAUAUUAUCAGCCUUUAUAAAAAUAUGAUAUAAUGGAAGGCCCAACAGCUCAAAAGUUUGUUAAAAGAUAACCUGAGUUUAGUUAUGCUUGUGCUGAAUAUCUGCUUGAUACAAAGCUACCCAUCUUGCUAACGGACAUGGGGAGAAGGAAUAUUCUUUUUAAAGUCUUAACUGAAAGAUAUGCAAAUAAAGCUACAGAUAGAAUAAAAGUAUACCUGUAGUUCUGUGAAGAAUGUCAAAUAAAAAAAAAAAGUGUCCGGAAGUCUUUGGGUUUGGUCAAGCCAAUCCUCUUGCACAUCAAAAAUUCAAGGUGCCAGGUCACCUUGUUUGACAUGCAGAGUAAGACGUGGAGUAUCGGUUCAUCUUGAAUUAUCGAGAUCACAUGACAAACUUCGUAUGCCUUCAGUGUCUUCUGGAGACGAAGACUGUAGGGAAGGAGCACGCCCAGCCACCCACUCCACUGAGGUCACCGCUGGGAUGGAAAUGAGGCAUAUUUAUUCAAGAGGAAAAUAUAUGAAUAGCAGGCGAGAGAAGAAUGAAGAGCACGGCAGGACUAUCCUCUGUCAUUCCCAUUGAAAACGCAAGUUGGUCUUACUUUUUAUAAGAUCAUUGAACAUGUUGUGACUGGAAAUUACUGCUUUUACAGUGCCAGUGUGAAAGAGAUGCAGGUAUAUGUGUGACAGGUGAGAGAGAGAGAGAGAGAGAGAGAGAGAGAGAGAGAGAGAGAGAGAGAGAGAGAGAGAGAGAGAGAGAGAGAGAGAGAGAGAGAGAGAGAGAGAGAGAAUCUUUGCCUUAUCUUGAUUCAUUUUUAUUUUGUAGCUGAUUAAGCAUUAUUUCCACUAUAGAAAUAUGAUUAGAAUAGGAGGAAAGUAAUAGCCUUGCCUGUCCCCUUCCUCCUGUCCAUCCAGGCAGAUGAUCCUCAUUGUCAACCACUUAGUAUUGUCCCCCCCCCUCUCUCUCUCUCUCUCUCUCUCUCUCUCUCUCUCUCUCUCUCUCUCUCUCUCUCUCUCUCUCUCUCUCUCUCUCUCUCUCUCUCUCUCAAGAUUUUCAAGAUUCGCCGGAAGAGGAUGGGGAGGUACAUGUAAUUGUAACAGCUGAGGUGUGGAGCUGGUGAUAGACUACAUGACAGGUUUGCUAUACAUUAAGAUGGGAAAAAUACUGUGGCAAAACUAAGUUUCCGAAAAGAUUCCAGAAUCGGAGAUAAAUGUAGAGUAACAUU